rnacentral:tRNA from 1 species
GCCUGGCUAGCUCAGUCGGUAGAGCAUGAGACUCUUAAUCUCAGGGUCGUGGGAUCGAGCCCCACUUUGGGCG